rnacentral:rRNA from 1 species
UACGAAGGGGGCUAGCGUUGCUCGGAAUUACUGGGCGUAAAGCGCACGUAGGCGGCUUUCUAAGUCGGACGUGAAAUCCCUCGGCUUAACCGAGGAACUGCGUCCGAUACUGAAAGGCUUGAAUCCGGGAGAGGGAUGUGGAAUUCCAGGUGUAGCGGUGAAAUGCGUAGAUAUCUGGAGGAACACCGGUGGCGAAGGCGGCAUCCUGGACCGGUAUUGACGCUGAGGCGCGAAAGCUAGGGGAGCAAACGGG